GACGAACGCUGGCGGCGUGCCUAAUACAUGCAAGUAGAACGCACAGUUUAUACCGUAGCUUGCUACACCAUAAACUGUGAGUUGCGAACGGGUGAGUAACGCGUAGGUAACCUGCCUGGUAGCGGGGGAUAACUAUUGGAAACGAUAGCUAAUGCCGCAUAAUAUUGAUUAUUGCAUGAUAAUUGAUUGAAAGAUGCUAUUGCAUCACUACCAGAUGGACCUGCGUUGUAUUAGCUAGUAGGUGAGGUAACGGCUCACCUAGGCGACGAUACAUAGCCGACCUGAGAGGGUGAUCGGCCACACUGGGACUGAGACACGGCCCAGACUCCUACGGGAGGCAGCAGUAGGGAAUCUUCGGCAAUGGACGAAAGUCUGACCGAGCAACGCCGCGUGAGUGAAGAAGGUUUUCGGAUCGUAAAGCUCUGUUGUAAGAGAAGAACGGGUGUGAGAGUGGAAAGUUCACACUGUGACGGUAUCUUACCAGAAAGGGACGGCUAACUACGU
rnacentral:rRNA from 1 species